rnacentral:rRNA from 1 species
AUGCGUCAGGGACUGCAGGUGCACCGUACCCUGGAGCUUAACACACUGAAGCCCGCUGAGUACCUUUCCUCCAUGCGCCAGGGACCAGAGCCACUGACGCUCAUCCCUUGUGCCCUUGUACGCACGAUCCCUCGCUGUCUUCCCCAGUCAAUCCCUAAGCAUGUGCCUGCGCCGGGAAACCUGGUCAUCGAGGAUGUGGAGAAGACUGCGCUCGGGGUUCAAGACAAACUCAGGCAGAAAGGAGGACCUGAGUACUGUAUGCGCACCAUCAGGGCAACGGUUGAAAUCUUGAAGGAGAAGCAAGAGAAGGCGUUGCGCAGGCAAUCUUUGUUGAAGAAGUUCAAGGCAUGGGCAGAUGACACCUCCAGGGGGUUUACCUUCUAUUCGAUCGGGGAAAAGGUACUUCAAGUUUGGGACAAGUACUUCCCGAAGUAG